UACGUAGGUGGCAAGCGUUGUCCGGAUUUACUGGGCGUAAAGAGCUCGUAGGCGGCCUGUCGCGUCGGAUGUGAAAGCCCGGGGCUUAACCCCGGGUCUGCAUUCGAUACGGGCAGGCUAGAGUUCGGUAGGGGAGAUCGGAAUUCCUGGUGUAGCGGUGAAAUGCGCAGAUAUCAGGAGGAACACCGGUGGCGAAGGCGGGUCUCUGGGCCGAUACUGACGCUGAGGAGCGAAAGCGUGGGGAGCAAACAGG
rnacentral:rRNA from 1 species